GAUGAAGAACGCAGCGAAAUGCGAUACGUAGUGUGAAUUGCAGAAUUCAGUGAAUCAUCGAAUCUUUGAACGCACAUUGCACCUCUCGGUAUUCCGGGAGGUAUGCCUGUUCGAGCGUCAUUUGUACCCUCAAGCUCUGCUUGGUGUUGGGUGUUCGUUCCGCCUCUGUGUGUGAACUCGCCUCAAAACAAUUGGCAGCCGGCGUACUUGUUUCGGAGCGCAGCACAUUUUGCGAUCCAGAUCAACGUACAGCGGCAUCCAAGAAGCCUUAUUUAACGCUCUUGACCUCGGAUCAGGUAGGGAUACCCGCUGAACUUAAGCAUAUCAAUAAGCGGAGGA
rnacentral:misc_RNA from 1 species